rnacentral:lncRNA from 1 species
AAUUAUUCACUUUGAAAGUAUAUAGGUUAAGAAAGGACGAGAGGCUAAGUUAAGAAAAUUAGGAAAUUUUACAACAAAAUCGGUAUUUUUCCAACACCCAUAAGUCUCCCUAGUAUAGAUAUCAAUUUGAAUAACCAUUGUGCCGAAAUCUCCUGAUUUAAAUUUGUUGAUUCCUUUAGUAGUUUAUUUACCAGUCGGACACCAUCUAUAAGUCACACAUUAAGUAGGUCAAUCGAUGAAUAUAAGCGAAUCAUCAACGUAAAUUAAAGGUCAUACUGUGGUAAUACGGUUAAACCUUGAAAAAAAUAUAUACGAAUAUUUGCUUAUGAAAGCAAUACAAAAUUUCCAUCAUCAAGCU